GUGCCAGCCGCCGCGGUAAUACGUAGGUGGCAAGCGUUGUCCGGAUUUAUUGGGCGUAAAGCGAGCGCAGGCGGUUUUUUAAGUCUGAUGUGAAAGCCUUCGGCUCAACCGAAGAAGUGCAUCGGAAACUGGGAAACUUGAGUGCAGAAGAGGACAGUGGAACUCCAUGUGUAGCGGUGAAAUGCGUAGAUAUAUGGAAGAACACCAGUGGCGAAGGCGGCUGUCUGGUCUGUAACUGACGCUGAGGCUCGAAAGUAUGGGUAGCAAACAGGAUUAGAUACCCUGGUAGUCCAUACCGUAAACGAUGAAUGCUAAGUGUUGGAGGGUUUCCGCCCUUCAGUGCUGCAGCUAACGCAUUAAGCAUUCCGCCUGGGGAGUACGGCCGCAAGGCUGAAACUCAAAGGAAUUGACGGGGGCCCGCACAAGCGGUGGAGCAUGUGGUUUAAUUCGAAGCUACGCGAAGAACCUUACCAGGUCUUGACAUACUAUGCAAAUCUAAGAGAUUAGACGUUCCCUUCGGGGACAUGGAUACAGGUGGUGCAUGGUUGUCGUCAGCUCGUGUCGUGAGAUGUUGGGUUAAGUCCCGCAACGAGCGCAACCCUUAUUAUCAGUUGCCAGCAUUAAGUUGGGCACUCUGGUGAGACUGCCGGUGACAAACCGGAGGAAGGUGGGGAUGACGUCAAAUCAUCGUGCCCCUUAUGACCUGGGCUACACACGUGCUACAAUGGAUGGUACAACGAGUUGCGAACUCGCGAGAGUAAGCUAAUCUCUUAAAGCCAUUCUCAGUUCGGAUUGUAGGCUGCAACUCGCCUACAUGAAGUCGGAAUCGCUAGUAAUCGCGGAUCAGCAUGCCGCGGUGAAUACGUUCCCGGGCCUUGUACACACCGCCCGU
rnacentral:rRNA from 1 species